rnacentral:rRNA from 1 species
CCUACGGGAGGCAGCAGUAGGGAAUCUUCCGCAAUGGACGAAAGUCUGACGGAGCAACGCCGCGUGAGCGAUGAAGGCCUUCGGGUCGUAAAGCUCUGUUUGUUUAGGGAAGAAAUAAGUGCUAGUUGAAUAAGCUGGCACCUUGACGGUACCUAACCAGAAAGCCACGGCUAACUACGUGCCAGCAGCCGCGGUAAUACGUAGGUGGCAAGCGUUGUCCGGAAUUAUUGGGCGUAAAGCGCGCGCAGGCGGUUUCUUAAGUCUGAUGUGAAAGCCCCCGGCUCAACCGGGGAGGGUCAUUGGAAACUGGGAAACUUGAGUGCAGAAGAGGAAAGUGGAAUUCCAAGUGUAGCGGUGAAAUGCGUAGAGAUUUGGAGGAACACCAGUGGCGAAGGCGACUUUCUGGUCUGUAACUGACGCUGAGGCGCGAAAGCGUGGGGAGCAAACAGGAUUAGAUACCCUGGUAGUCCACGCUGUAAACGAUGAGUGCUAAGUGUUAGAGGGUUUCCGCCCUUUAGUGCUGAAGUUAACGCAUUAAGCACUCCGCCUGGGGAGUACGGUCGCAAGACUGAAACUCAAAGGAAUUGACGGGGGCCCGCACAAGUGGUGGAGCAUGUGGUUUAAUUCGAAGCAACGCGAAGAACCUUAC